rnacentral:rRNA from 1 species
UGCUAUACUGCAGUCGAGCGGACCCUUCUGGGUUAGCGGCGGACGGGUGAGUAACACGUAGGCUACCUGCCUGUAAGAUUGGGAUAACUACCGGAAACGGUAGCUAAGACCGGAUAAUUAAGCGGAAUGCUUGUUCCGCUUAUGAAACACGGUGCAAGCUGUGGCUUACAGAUGGGCCUGCGGCGCAUUAUCUAGUUGGCGGGGUAACGGCCCACCAAGGCGACCAUGCGUAGCCGACCUGAGAGGGUGAUCGGCCACACUGGGACUGAGACACGGCCCAAACUCCUACCGGAGGCACCACUAGGGAAUCUUCCGCAAUGGACUAAAGUCUGACGGAGCAACGCCCCGUGAGUGAUGAAGGUUUUCGGAUCGGAUAGCUCUGUUGCCAGGGAAGAACGGCUCGGGGAGUAACUGCCCUGAGCAUGACCGUGCCUGAGAAGAAAGCCCCGGCUAACUACCUGCCAACAUCCGCGGUAAUACCUACGGGGCAAGCGUUGUCCGGAAUUAUUGGGCGUAAAGCGCGCGCAGGCGGUUUUUUAAGUCUGGUGUUUAAUCCCGGGGCUCAACCCCGGUUCGCACCGCAAACUGGAACACUUGAUUGCAGAAGAGGAUAGCGGAAAUCCACGUGUAGCGCUGAAAUGCGUAGAGAUGUGAAGGAACACCAGUGGCGAAACGCGGCUUUCUGGACUGUAUACUGACACUGAGACGCGACAAGCAUGCGGAGCAAACACGAUUACAUACCCUGGUAGUCCACGCCGUAGACGAUGAGUGCUACGAUGUGAUAGGUUUCGAUACCCUUGGUGCGGAAGUAAACACACUAUGCACUCCGCGUGGGGAGUGCGCUCGCACGAGUGUGACUCAAAGGAAUUGACGCGGACCCGCACAAGCACUGGAGUAUGUGGUUUAAUUUGAAGCAACGCGAAGAACCUUACCAGGUCUUGACAUCCCUCUGAAAGUCUUAGAGAUAGGGCAGGCCUUCGGGACAGAGGAGACACAUGGUGCACGGUGGUGUUCAGAUCUUGUCUUGAGAUGUUGGGUUAAGUCCCGCACCGAGCGCAACCCCUGAAAUUAUUUGCCAUCAUUUGGUUGGGCACUCUAAGUUGACUGCCGGUGACAAACCGGAGGAAGGUGGGGAGGACGUCAAAUCAUCAUGCCCCCUAUGACCUGGGGUACACACGUAUUACAAUGGCCGGUACAACGGGAAGAGAAGCCGCGAGGCGGAGCGAAUCUUUAUAAGCCGGUGUCAGUUUGGAUUGCAGGGUGCAAAUCUCCUGCACGAAGUCUGAAAUGUUAGUAAUCGCGGAUCAGCACGCCGCGGUGAAUACGUUCCCGGGUCUUGUACACACCGCCCGUCACACCACGAGAGUUUACAACACCCGAAGUCGGUGGGGUAACCCGCAAGGGGGCCAGCCGCCGAA